rnacentral:misc_RNA from 1 species
GAUGAAGAACGUAGCGAAAUGCGAUACGUAAUGUGAAUUGCAGAAUUCAGUGAAUCAUCGAAUCUUUGAACGCAUAUUGCGCUCUCUGGUAUUCCGGAGAGCAUGCUUGUUUGAGUAUCAGUAAACACCUCAACUUCCAUAUCUUUUUUGAAAUGGGAGUUGGACUUGAGUGAUCCCAACGCUUUUCCUCACCGAAAAGUGGCGGGUUACUUGAAAUGCAGGUGCAGCUGGACUUUUCUCUGGGCUAUAAGCAUAUCUAUUUAGUCUGCCUAAAAACAGAUUAUUACCUUUGCUGCAGCUAACAUAAAGGAGAUUAGUUCUUGUGCUGACUGAUGCAGGAUUCACAAAGACAGGCUUCGGCCGACUUUGUAAACUCGAUCUCAAAUCAAGUAAGACUACCCGCUGAACUUAAGCAUAUCAAUAAGCGGAGGA